AGGUCAUCUUGACCAACCUUCUGCUUCAAGAAUUCCAUUUUUGGCAUUGCCGAUGAAUCUUACAUGUUGAAGAACAUCUCUUUGAUGGAAGUCAAGAAAGAAUCUAGACAUUCGCUCACCUCCUGCACUGUGAGCUCCUUGAGGGUAGGGCCUGUGUCUUGUGUGUCUUUUUAUCUUCCUCAACUCUUUGUUCACAGGGUCUCAAUGGAGCCUGAUGAAUGAAUCAAUUGCACGAGCACAUUCCACACAUGGGAACCCAGGGAUGGCUGCCAUCAUGCUACACAAAGUACAGAUCAUCACUGAACAUUCGCUGGCAGCUCUGAAUGAGGCUGGCAAAGAGCUGCAGAGGUUCGUGGCCUGGAUUUUCUCUGACCUCAUUUGUAUCCAUCCUAAAUUUGGUUUUGUUUUUUGAAUUGGUGAGCAAUGAUAAAGUUAGGUUUUGAAUUCUUUACCAUCCCUCUGCUCCACAUCCUAUCUGACCCCUCUUCCAAUGACCCUGCUUGACUACAGUUAUUCUCCCCCGGUCUUAUCUGAGUACAUCUGAAGGCCCACGGUGAGAAGGAAGCAUAGACUGCAAUGAUGCAAGUGAAAGGAGCCACGGAGUCCAGAGACACUGACUUCAGAAGAAAAGAGGUGUGAGAUAAAGAGGGGGCUGCCAACUCUUACCCACUACCCAACCCCAAACAUGCAGCCAUGUGGGAGAUGGCUCUUGCCAAGAAAUAAAAGUAGGGUAAGGUAACCUGAUAACAAGUGCAUCCCAGAAUAAGUGAAUCACUGACAGCAUCCUGUUUCAACCCAACUGAAGAUUUGCCUGCUCAUUCUUUCAUUAAGCAUUUGCUGAAUGCCAUGUGCCAGGCCUUGCUGGAGGCACUGGGAAGCACAGUCUCCUUCACAGGCUCUCCACUCCCUGAGAAACGGUAGUUUAUCCCAGAGCUCCACCCUUGGGCAUCAUUAUUGGCUACCAAUGGAUGACUUCUAAUCUACAACUCUGGUGCAGAUCCCAUUUGGAAGUCUUGAUGUCUAUUGGACAGAUCUUUAUCAAUAACUCACAGGUUUAUCUUUUAAAAAGCAUAUACCUGUUUUACAAGGAUCUCACAAAGAUUAACAAUAUGUAUGCUAUGAAGGAUCCCAUCUGCCUCAGAGAAGACAUGCUUUUCAUCACAGACUGUAUACUUUUUACGGUUCUUAUCUAUUUAUUCUACUGCAAAAGCUGCCGAUUCUACAGAGUCUAUGAAUUCCACUGGGAAAACAUGUACGGAAUGUGCUCAUGAGUAUGGGACUUCCUGUAAUUGUUUGAAAGAAAAAUAAAGGCUGAUAGAAAAAACAUUUCUGCCUGGCACUCAGGAGAAAACUUCGCUGAAGAAUGAACACAGAAAAACAAUGAUGAACCCCCUCAAGAACAAAUUGGAUAGCCUCACCUUCCCUUCUGGAAGCCCUGCUAGGCUGGGAUGCACCUAUCCCUACUUCUUAGAUGUUCCCAUAUGUUCUCAACAGCAUUCUAUCCUUCCCAAGGAGUGUCACUGAAGCUAGCUGGUGUCUCAGGAUUGUUACCUUUAUUGAUGAUUUUCCCUUUAUGCUUCCUGGUGUCUGGCACCAAGACCACACUCCUACUUCUCCAAUGGCCCUUUCCCUCAGUAAGCUGAGCUUAUUGCUCACCUCCCACCUUCUCCUUGAACCCCACCAGAAAGACAUGGACCUGUCAGAUGCUCCUGAUACUUAAGCGUCUGUGCCAAAACCUCAUGUGGACCUUGUUUGUUCAAAUGAGUUACUAUUGAGAGAGAUAGCAAAGUCAUCUUCUUUAGGGAACCUGAAAAUUGUCUUCAGUCUGAAGAAGGAGCAAAAGAUAGGUGAGAGGGAGAGCAUAAGAGGAGAGCCAUGUAUCCUCCUGACCAUGAGCUCACGGUAGAUAAACCCCCGGUUACCUGAAGGCAGCACCGUGAGCACCAUCCGCUGUGACUCAUCGGAUGCUUGAUUAAUCCACUUGCUUGGGUGUCCAUGGAGCUGCCAUUCUGCCACCCUACACCAGUACAUUCCUGCAUCCUCCAUCUCCACCUGAUGAAGCUUCAGGACAAAGUCUGUAGGGGAUGAACGGUAACAGUGCAGGUGCCUCCUAAGCCCCUCUUCCCCAUACUCCAGCAAGCCAUCAUAUUGCAAGUGCACCAGCAUUUUACUUCCAGAGUUUUCUCUGUUCCAGUACCACAUCACAGAGUACAGAGCGGCUGGGCUGCCUACACUCUCCAGGCUGCAGUGGAUGGCCACCUCUCUGUGCUCGGUCACAUUUUCGGUCCAGUACACUUUGGAGACACGUACCUUACUUCCUAGACAAUAAAAUGGCAGUAAAUUAGAAAA